rnacentral:sRNA from 2 species
ACGCCAGUCGCAGUACCUUUUUUGGUCCUACUCCCCAAGUGGCCAAAAUCCCCAGGGAGCUCAUGCUGCGGGGCUCUGAGCAAGCUCAUUACUGGCGUUAUUUCUGCCCCGGUCGCCUUGUGCGACCGGGGUUUUUCUUU